rnacentral:rRNA from 1 species
GACGAACGCUGGCGGCGUGCUUAACACAUGCAAGUCGAACGGAAAGGCCCUGCUCUUGUGGGGUGCUCGUUAGGCGAACGGGUGAGUAACACGUGAGUAACCUGCCCUUGUCUUUGGGAUAACUUCAGGAAACUGGGGCUAAUACCGGAUAGGAGCUUCUGCUGCAUGGUGGGGGUUGGAAAGUUUCGGCUGUUGGGGGUCGACUCGAGGCUUAUCAGCUUGUUUGGGUGGUAGUGGCUUACCAAGCCUUUGACGGGUAGGCGGCAUGUGAGGGGUACCGGCCACAUGGGGCCUGAGGUACGGCCCAGACGCCUACCGGCGGCAGCAGUGGGGAACAUUGCGCAGUGGGCGGAAGCCUGAGGCAGCAGCGCCGCGUGCGGGAUGAUGUCCUUCGGGUGGUAAACCGCUUUCGCCUGUGACGAAGCGUGAGUGACGGUAAUGGGUAAAGAAGCACCGGCUAACUACGUG